UACAGAGGUCCCAAGCGUUGUUCGGAUUCACUGGGCGUAAAGGGUGCGUAGGUGGUGGGAUAAGUCGGAUGUGAAAUCUCCGAGCUCAACUCGGAAACUGCAUUGGAAACUACCCUGCUAGAGGGUCGGAGGGGGGACUGGAAUACUUGGUGUAGCAGUGAAAUGCGUAGAUAUCAAGUGGAACACCAGUGGCGAAGGCGAGUCCCUGGACGACUCCUGACACUGAGGCACGAAAGCUAGGGGAGCAAACAGG
rnacentral:rRNA from 1 species